ensembl:snRNA U1 U1 spliceosomal RNA
CCACUUACCUGCUAGGGGAGACACCAUGAUCCAGCAGGUGGUUUUCCCAGGGCGAGGCUCAUCCCUUGCGCUCCGGGUGUGCUGACCCCUGCAAUUUCCCCAAGUGUGGGAAACUCAACUGCAUAAUUUGUGGUAGUGGGGGACUGUGUUUUGCUUAAAAAAUAUAUAUUGUGCUGCCAUUCA